rnacentral:rRNA from 1 species
GACAGAGGUGCCGAGCGUUAGGCGGAAUCACUGGGCUUAAAGCGUGUGUAGGCGGGCCGUUAAGUGCCCCGUGAAAUCCCCCGGCUCAACCGGGGAACGGCGGGGCAUACUGGCGGCCUUGAGCCACUUAAGGGCAGACGGAACAAGCGGUGGAGCGGUGAAAUGCGUAGAUAUUGGGAGGAACACCAGUGGCGAAGGCGGCUACCUGGACCGGUUCUGACGCUGAUGCGCGAAAGCGUGGGUAGCAAACAGG